CCUACGGGUGGCAGCAGUGAGGAAUAUUGGUCAAUGGCCGGAAGGCUGAACCAGCCAUGCCGCGUGAAGGUCAGUGCCCUUUGGGCGUUAAACUUCUUUUGUGCGGGAGCAAUAAUGGUCACGUGUGGCCAGACGAGAGUACCGUACGAAUAAGCAUCGGCUAACUCCGUGCCAGCAGCCGCGGUAAUACGGGGGAUGCAAGCGUUAUACGGAUUUAUUGGGUUUAAAGGGGGCGUAGGCUGUGAGGUAAGGCAGCGGUGAAAUGCCCCCGCUCAACGGGGUGAAGUGCCAUUGAUAAUGCCUUGCUGGAGUGCGGAUGCGGUGGGAGGAAUGUGUGGUGUAGCGGUGAAAUGCAUAGAUAUCACACAGAACACCGAUUGCGAAGGCAUCUCAC
rnacentral:rRNA from 1 species